rnacentral:lncRNA from 1 species
ACAGAGGCCAAUCUGGUCUUGCCCUGUAUUUUCUUGUCACUUUUUUAAAACUAAUUUCCACGCAACGUGUUUUUGCAAACCACCCCUUAACUGUGAUUUCCCACCAUUCCUCAGGUAUCUCUCAUUCAACAGGCACUAAUAAUCCCCAUCCACAAAACUAAGUUACUACUUUUACAUUUCUUGCAAGAAGAGCAUAAAUUUUGUGAACUACAAUGCUAAUUAUUCUCACAAUUCAAGCGUUUACUUAUAACCCAGGUAGCAUGUCUAGUAUUGGAAUGAAUCAAAUAAAGUUUACUGAUGGAAAUGGUAACUCUCCUUUUCCCCUGUGCAAUUCUUAGGCUAAGGUCAGAAUACAAAAACAGUCCUGAUCUUUCUAUCUGAAGUAUUCCUCCUCAAGGAGAUGUUUUAUUCAGGCAGUGCUCGAAACCAGUUGUCGCAGACAUUUUUUCAUAGAAAUCCUUUCUUUGGGAUUUGUUCAUCUUCUGGGAAGCUGAGGCCCCAGAAGAAGAAUGUAAACAAUUGUUAUCGGCUGGUGUGGAAUGCAAAAGGUGCAGCGGUGAUUGGUGUUCUGUGAGUGUUUGGAUUUGCUGACCACUCACAGAAGAGUUUCUCCUUGCUUUCUGCUGGACACAGAACUUUGUUAUUCAUUCUUUGCUAUUCUAUUCAUAGCUUAGCAGGCCUUUGCAACUUCUCUCCUUAUUCCUUUUUAGUAUAGUUAUAAUGUAUUAUAUAUCAUAUAUCAAUAAAUCCAGCCUUCUGAUCAUGAACUAAGAUUCUCGUCCACUUCUCUCACCCAGAAGACCCUCGUCAGGUCGCUGUAAUAACCAGUGAUUCCUUCUAUUACAGGCUUCAAACCUUCCCUGACGUACACAUACGGGACAAUCUUCUCUCUCAAUUGUAACUCUUAUGGGGUCGAUAGCUGCCUGCGCCCUCCUAAGCCCCGCAGUGCUGGCACCAGCAGUGACCUCUCAUCGUGUCCCUUUCAGGGUGCCAUCAGCGCGGCUGUAAAGCUCUUCCUGAGGUUGAGCUCGCAAAGGAUCUGCCAGCACUCUCGAAGUCUUGGCAGCAAGGUGCUGUUUGUUCCUGGCAGAGAGACACCAGCUGUGAGCUGGAGGAGAGUGAAUUCUGCUCCAUUCAUGGACCUGUGGAAAAGCUCCUGCAUCCCCAGGAGGGAACAGCAGCUGUGGUUUCACACUUGCCUGGGGCCCAAGAAGCCUCUUGGCAUAAGCAGGGGGAUGCCACUUGUGACUGUGCAUUGAGAGGAGAUGUGGAGAAUGGAAUCUGCACCAGUGAUGGGGGUGUGAGGUAACCCCUGCCUCCCCAGGGCACAGCAGCAACCUACAAUGUACUCAAAAGAAACCUCAGAAGAUUCCUGUGGUUUACAAGGAGCAGACAGUGUCCCCUCCCAAGGCCA